AAUUCAAAUGCAUAAAUUUGGAAUAACUUGAAAAAGAAACAUGUCUUGUAUUAUGUAAUAAAAAUUAUUUCCAGACAUUCACUAACAAUAAAUUCCACAACACCAAAUGUAAUUUGAAACAUUAUAAAUGCUCAAAAAAUCUUGAUCUUUCACUUCAAUAUGUCGAAUUGACACCAUUUUAAAUUGGAUCACUCGCAUUUUCCUAUUCAUUCAAAAUUAAAUUAAAAGUUAGAAUAAAUCAACAUACAUCAUGUAUUAAUAUAGUAUCACGAAUAAUACAACAUAAUAGACUAAAAACAUGACCAAAUUCCAUUCAUUUUUUCAUAAUUAGACAAAUAAUGGAUAACUUGCAAUAAUUUAAGGUAAAAGAGAAUACACCAAAUAAUUAAUGAAACUCCAACUAACCUGUAUAGUAAAAAUUCAAUUUUAAACAGAAUCCUCAUUCAAUGUAAAAUAUCCUCAUCAUAACAAUAUCAAUCAAACUACCUCAACUAACGUGUGUAAUAACUCACAAAAGCUGUACUCAAUUAACUAAAUUUUAUGGAUCUCUUUGACAAGUGCUAACUUUUCUCUCUUUCUAAUUCAUUUGAUUUUUAGGGCCAUGUCAUGCAGCAAUAGAAUGUGCAAAAUGAAAUGAAUAGUGGCAGUGUCUAGGGCCAUGAACUUUUGCAUCGCAAGGUAAUAUAAGAUGCAAUCUCAAAUCAGCAAACUACUGAGAGAAACCAAAUAAUUAAGCCAAGUUACAAAAUUCAAUGUUACAUGAUACCAUUAUUAUCUGGGAGUCUUAAAACUUCUUCCAUCUAAUAAUUCUUUACAGAUUGUAACCAUUCAGAUCUAUUAAGUUCUUGCUCAUUACCAUUCAGAUCUAUUAAGUUCCUGCUCAUAAUAUCCCUACUGGGAAUAUUGGAGAUAGCUAGGAAUAGAAAACCAAAAGUCUACUUGAAACAUGCUUGUAAACAAACCUUUGUGUAAUUCUUGUCAAGAGAAUUGGCAAGACUGCAACCUACAAUGACGUCAACAAUUUACCCUAGAGCAUGGUCAGCAGCAGCUUAAUUGCAGAAACAAAGAGCUGAAAAAAGAUGCGACUCAAAACGAUAGGAUAUAGCAGCAUUAUAAUGUUCAAUAGCUUCCAAAUAUUUUUCAGAUUUAAAUGUGCCUCAUAUUUGGCUUUCUAUUUUCAGGGAGAAAAACAAUAAACUACUUUAGAAAAGCAAGUUGAAACAAAACCAUACUAAAAGAACAGUGGAAUUCUACUACCGAAAACACGGAGAACUAAUGGUCAAUAAUUUUGGAACCCAAUAUCAGAUAGGAUCAAAAAACAAUAGUAAAUACCUUGUGAUCCAAAAGUUCACGAUUGUGGAUGCUAGAUGAGAUGAUGAUUCCUGGGUCAUAUGUAAAUAUCUACAGUAAGGUGGAGCAAAAUGCUCAAUAUCAUUCUUGAAAUAAGGAGGAAGAAAGUUGAACAUAUUUCUUGAAGAUCAUGGUUUACCUUUUCGAACAGAAACCAUUAGCUCUUAUUUCUCAAUUAAGUCAAGGGCCAUCUCAAGCUUUUGUCUUCUUCUUUUUUAUAAAGGUAAUGUUAUCUUAUGUCUUGUAUAA
rnacentral:lncRNA from 1 species